GCCCACCCGAGGGGAAGGAGGAAGGGAGAAGACCAAGAAAAAUAAAUAGGAAAUAGUAAAUCUAUAAGAUUCCUGAGCCAAAGAUGGGGGGCAUUCAACCUUCCUAGUUGCCCAAGUGUACUUUUCUUUGCUUCAAUAAAUUCUCGUUUCUGCCUCAAAUCUACGUCUGUCUCUUGGUCAAAUCCAAGAAGACAAGAACCAAUGACUGAAGAAACCUCCUAGACUUGCUGCUGGUAACAAAAUGAGAACCACUGCAAAAGGUAAAUCAUAAAUCAACACAAGGUAGAUACACAUUCGUUCAGCCCAAAAAGGUGGGACAUCUCGAAGAAAGAGCUUACAAGUCAUAGCAUCUGCUAUCUGCCAUGUGAUGCUAUACCAGAGUCAGG
rnacentral:lncRNA from 1 species